rnacentral:rRNA from 1 species
AGAGUUUGAUCCUGGCUCAGGAUGAACGCUGGCGGCGUGCCUAACACAUGCAAGUUGAGCGAGAAAUCACUUAAAGAAGCUUCGGUAGACUUAAGAGAUGGAGAGCAGCGGACGGGUGAGUAACGCGUGGGAAACCUGCCCUUGACAGGAGGAUAGCCGAGAGAAAUUUCGAUUAAUACUUCAUAAAGCAGAGCAUUCGCAUGGAUGAACUGCCAAAGAAUUAUCGGUCAAGGAUGGUCCCGCGUCUGAUUAGCUGGUUGGUAAGGUAGCGGCUUACCAAGGCGACGAUCAGUAGCCGGCCUGAGAGGGUGAACGGCCACAUUGGAACUGAGACACGGUCCAGACUCCUACGGGAGGCAGCAGUGGGGAAUAUUGCACAAUGGGCGAAAGCCUGAUGCAGCAACGCCGCGUGAAGGAAGAAGGCUUUCGAGUCGUAAACUUCUGUCCAAAGGGAAGAAUAAUGACGGUACCUUUGAAGAAAGCCCCGGCUAACUACGUGCCAGCAGCCGCGGUAAUACGUAGGGGGCGAGCGUUAUCCGGAAUUACUGGGCGUAAAGAGUAUGUAGGUGGUUAAGUAAGCGUAGGGUUUAAGGCGACAGCCCAACUGUCGUAUGCCCCGCGAACUGUUUAACUUGAGUACAGGAGGGGAAGGCGGAAUUCCUAGUGUAGCGGUGAAAUGCGUAGAUAUUAGGAGGAACACCAGUGGCGAAGGCGGCCUUCUGGACUGUAACUGACACUGAGAUACGAAAGCGUGGGUAGCAAACAGGAUUAGAUACCCUGGUAGUCCACGCCGUAAACGAUGA